CACACACGGACCAUGUCCUACCUUUUUAACUUUGGAAAGCAGGCACAAUUUUAUCCUUAGAACCAGGAGGGUAGGAAUCAUGUUAUGGAAAUUUUGCACUGCACAGAACGAGGAAGAUCAUCUAGUGCUUGCUCAACAAGCCCCGAGGCCCUCUUUGUCAUUGUCCAAAGUUGGUGUUUGAAUAUGGCUAAGAAUAAGCAAGACACAAUGGGUUUUGCAAAAGAAACAAGAGAAAAUGAGAAACCAUUAUGAAAUUGGAUCGGGGGAACCUUAAAAAUAACCCAAUACUAUCCUCUCGUUCUGCACAGAUGGACAAUUUGAUCCCAGUAUGCGGUAACUUGAGUGGAAACACAGUGGAUCACUGGAAGUAGCUGUAAGACAAGCACCAGCCUCUGUUUCCCAAACUAGUGCUAUUCCCAUCGAACCUCACCACCUUUUACUGGAAGAAUAUCAUUAGAACUUUGUCUUUUCUCAUCUUCCCUCAUAAAUCUGGCCCUCGAAUCUUUCAAUCAUUUUUAUUCUCUUUCAACUAAUCUCUAAGAUUUCA